GAUCAUGGCUCAGGAUGAACGCUGGCGGCGUGCUUAACACAUGCAAGUCGAACGAAGCACCUUGAUUUGAUUCUUCGGAUGAAGAUCUUGGCGACUGAGUGGCGGACGGGUGAGUAACGCGUGGGUAACCUGCCUCAUACAGGGGGAUAACAGUUAGAAAUGACUGCUAAUACCGCAUAAGACCACAGCACCGCAUGGUGCAGGGGUAAAAACUCCGGUGGUAUGAGAUGGACCCG
rnacentral:rRNA from 1 species